GCCUGCAGCCACGGCACCUUGGGCAGUGAUCUUAUCAGCCCUCCUGAACAGAGCAGGGUUGGGCCUGUUUGCUGCUCCAUGGAAGACCUCCGAGGAGAAUGGGGGUGUUGCAAGAC
ensembl:rRNA 5S_rRNA 5S ribosomal RNA